rnacentral:rRNA from 1 species
UACGUAGGGUGCGAGCGUUGUCCGGAAUUAUUGGGCGUAAAGAGCUCGUAGGCGGUCUGUCGCGUCGAUCGUGAAAAACUUUGGGGGCUUAACCCCUGAGCUUGCGGUCGAUACGGGGCAUGACUGGAGUUCGGCAGGGGGAGACUGGAAAUUUCCUGGGUGUAGCGGUGAAAAUGCGCAGAUAUCGGGGAAAGAACACCCCGUG